GGAACUUUAAAACCACACUUUGUCCCAUGCGGGGUGGAAAAAGAAGCUCCUAAACACAAAUUAUUCAAACUAACUAUUGCUUCCAGGGUCAUUGUGUUCAAAAUACAAACCCCAAGCCAUCACUGUGUUAGAUUUCCCAACUCAAUUCAGCAGGUGUUGCUGUUGGCUCUUGACAAGUUGUAACACAGCACAAAAUUUAAAACCAUUGUCAAAUUAUGUGAAAAAGAAGCCACUGUGUAAUAUGUUCGUCCUUUACG
rnacentral:lncRNA from 1 species